rnacentral:lncRNA from 1 species
CUGCUCUGGUGGUGUGGCUGAUGUUGCUGCGUCUAUGUUUGAGGGUGAGAGGGGAGCGUGCUUGCUUUGAAAUGAGGCUGUAAAUUUGGCAAUCAUAUUUUCAGAACCCCAAAUUGUAAUACACUAUUCUAGCCUCCUUAGAUUUCAACUAUUCUGGUGCCAGAAGCAGAUGGGAGCUGAAGGAAUGAUGAAGGUUGAAGAAGGGGGGCUUUUCUUGGUGUGGGGCAGUACUGCAUUUGGCCUGCUCUACCAAGCAUACGGGAGUAGUAAAGCCACGGCUGGCAGACCAUUUGGCAUGCAUGCUCAGGGGCCAGUGGAUAAAGAAUUACUUACAGUUCAAACACUGUUUGAACUCAGUGUCGGGAGUAGUUAAAGGUAUCGUGAGAAGUUGCACACAGCUUUGGGGACUCUUGGAAAAGAAAGAGGAAGAAAUGAGGAAGAGGAAGGGUGUCUACAAAGGGCCAGAGAACAGGAUCUCAGAUCAGCUGCUGUAACCAGGUUUCCCCUUGUGGGAAGUGUUGUUUCUUGCUGGGCAGUUGGGAAGGGAAUGGAGAACAGAGAAGAGAGUGGAAAUCACAUGCUCACUUGAACUUUCCUGGGGAACGUCUCCUCACAGCGUGCACAAGAGCCUCCCUUUGGAAAUGGAGUGUUCAUUUUAUCAUGGGAAAAGAAUCUGAGUGGGACAUGAUUCAGAACAGGACCGGCCCAAGGAAGUGCAGGGGCUGUGGAGUGGGAUGGAGACAAGCUCUGAAAGGACACAUGGGAGAUCUAGAUGUAGAAGGUACACAAGUAGUAGGAUAACUCACAGGAUGGAUCCACUGGAGGUUAAGACAUGUGGUAAGACAGUGUAAUAGGAAGCUGCUCAGUUGGAGAAAGUAAGGAAGCAAACAUUGUUACCGUGGGGGCAAUGGAGAGGACAGUGAGGAGCCCUUUAUCCUGAUAAGGGUGGCUUUGGGGUAAAGGAAGGAAAGAGGAUGCCUUGAGAGGCCCCACUGUAUUAGAGAGGACCUGGAAGCCAGGAUGCUAAUUCUGGGGAGAUGGGUUCCCCAGGCUUACUCUAGGAGUAGAGGUCCAUGGGACGAGGGUUUGAUUUGAGAAAGAUCAUUUUCUUGGGAGUGGGUGGUGUGAGCUAGACCCUUGGAGCUGGGAUAAAGGACCUUUUAACCCACUGAGAGGUGGCUGCAAUAAAUGGAAUUGCCCUGGGGGUGAGCAACAGAAACUGGGUCAAGUAAGUUUCUAUUUUUUGCAGCACCUGGGCUGUCCCCCAUGCAGACCCUGAAGGUUUCUGUGUCUGCAGUGACUCUGGGCCUGGGCCUCAUCAUCUUCUCUCUUGGUGUGAUCAGCUGGCGGAGAGCUGGCCACUCUAGUGAGUGACUCGCUGAACUCCCAUCCCCACUCUUGGUCCCACUCUCUGCUUACUUUCUGUUUGUGAUUAACUCUCUCCUUCCUACUGCAUUUGCUAUGAAUACUGCUAGAUAUUUUCAUCCACAAAGACUGGUAUAAUCAAGUAUCUUCCUCUCUUAGGUUACACUCCUCUUCCUGGGUCCAAUUAUUCAGAAGGAUGGCACAUUUCCUAGAGGCAGAAUCCUACAACUUCCACUCCAAGUGAGAAGGAGAUUCAAACUCAAUGAUGCUACCAUGCCUCUCCAACAUCUUCAACCCCCUGACAUUAUCUUGGAUCCUAUGGUUUCUCCAUCCAAUUCUUUGAAUUUCCCAGUCUCCCCUAUGUAAAACUUAGCAACUUGGGGGACCUCAUUCCUGGGACUAUGCUGUAACCAAAUUAUUGUCCAAGGCUAUAUUUCUGGGAUGAAUAUAAUCUGAGGAAGGGAGUUAAAGACCCUCCUGGGGCUCUCAGUGUGCCAUAGAGGACAGCAACUGGUGAUUGUUUCAGAGAAAUAAACUUUGGUGGAAAUAUUGUU